ensembl:lncRNA
AUGGAAUCACAAGGCUCCUGGCAAACGCCAGGAGGAUUCCAGGCACGCGGUGACAAGGCCACCCUAGGAGCCAGGACCCGGUCUGAUAGCUGUUCCUUCUCCUUGCAAGCGCCCAGACCCCCAGUGAUGCGAGCUGGAGGGACGGCGCCCGUGGGGGGUGACCCAGGCCAGGCUCGCUGCUUUCACAGGCACCUCUUCCGCUUCCCUUCCCCCCCCCAGCCCUCCCACCCCGUCCCUGGGCCGCGGGCUCACCAGCUGGAGUUGCUUUAUAGAAAGGUGUCUGGGAGUGGACGCAUCGCGACCGCCGGGGCAGCGAGGAGGCGCAGAUGCGUGAACGGCGGGAUUUCUGGCGCCCCCAGCAGCUGGCUGUCAGGAUUACUCCUUGGCAACAUGAAGAUGGAUGAAGUUUAUCUCAGAGCCCUUCCCCCCUUACUUUCCACGCCCUCCUCUCUCCUUUUUUUAGUAUCUUUUGUCCUCUUCUAUCAUCUGUCAGCUGUCAUGGAAAACAUGUCAGUGUAUCUAGUUUAUACUAAAGUGAAAAUGACUGAUGGGACGAUCUGUCAUUCUUUACAUUUCUGUAAUGGGUGAGACCUAACCCAAGGGGGAUGCAGUUUAGUGGUCCAGCUGUGGGCGGUUCUGUGUCCCUCUCUUCAGUCUCGCUCCUGCCACUCACAUAUUUGCUCCUCCCCGUCUCCUGCUUGUGUAUUUUUGGUUCCACGGUACAGCACGGCUCAGGUGACGCCAGCCACUGGCGCAGGGUGAGACCACAAGCCCCAGCCUGUACACCCCAAAGACAGGAAGGGCAAGGGCUGGGACGCUCACCACCUUAAAGGCAGCCCGUUCCCUCUGAGUGGCACGGGAGCCAGAGGCAAACGGGCUCCCUUCGCCCCCUUCCACACGCAAGCCCUCCCGCAGGGUGGAGACCUCUGGGCCGCUGCUUCCCGACUACGAUCAGAGCGCACCUGCUUGUUCUCGCCGGCUGUGCCCUCUGCCUUUGAGGCCACUUCCAGUCUGAGGCCAGCCCUGCUCUGCGGUCCUCCCUAGGGCAGACGUGAUGGACUCAGGCUGAGCUCUGCGAAGUGGUGAUUCACGUCCCGCUCAGCCCCCACACAGCCCUCGGAGGAAGGCGUGGGGAGAGUCCUGUCUGCCUGCAGACGCUGGCCGCUGAUGCCUGCUGGGCGCUCAGCACCUGCCGAGCACGGCCAGACUGAUGAACGCAAUCCUCGCGGCAGGGUCAGGAUAGAGACAGCAUCGUUCUCCCCGCUCUCAGAUGAGAAGACGGAAGCCGGGGAGUCUGCGACGGUCCAGGCUUUGAAAGCAGGUGGUCUGACUCUGUGCACUGCCCGCCAAGAUCUGCUAAGUUUCUGACACUGGCCGGUGGCAUGCGGCGCACAUGUGUGUACACACGUGUGUGGACAGCCCACUGCGACGGAUCCAUGAUGCUCCCCCAAGACUGGCUGUGAAGACCCAAUGCCAAUGACAAGGCCCAUGCCCAUGUCCAUGCCAGACACUCGGAGCCCGUUUUCCCACCAGUAGCACGGGCUGACUCCUGCCCGCUGUGCAUGCUGGCUGGGGGCCAAAGGGGACAGCCACCUGGACCCAGUGAUGGCCAACUGGGCGGAAGGACUGGCUAUUUCCAUGAACAAAGGAUUGGUGGUGGCCGGCUGCAGCGUGGACGGAAAAGUUGGCCCUGAGCAGGGCCGUUUCGGUCCUUCUCUUUGGAGAUGGACAGAACCAAAAGCAAACAGAAAGUGAGCCACUGUCUGUCUGGGUGGCCUGCCCCUGUGGUCCCUGCGCCGUCUAGCCGAGGUAUGCGGCCAGGUGACAGAGCGCUGGGCAAUGCCGGUGCACCAGGGGCCUGUUCCAGCCACAGCCAGAACAGGGGGCUCUCUCCUGGGAACUCAGGAGCCCAGGGUGGGAGUGCUGGAGGCUCCCCCCCCCAACCCGGCCCCAGGCUACUACACUGCUGUCCCCCUCCCUGACAUGUCACUGACCUCCCCAGGGCUGCCCCUCCAGCCAUUGGCCAUUGGGUGGGACAGGAUUUCUCUUCACUUACAGCCAAAGUUUGGGGCAGCAGUGAAGAGGUGGCCUGGGAUGCUCGUGGUCCACGUCUCAGUGCCUGGAUUUGAGCCUCCCCUCGGCUUCUGACCCAGCUUCCUGUUCCUGGGCACGCGGGGAGGCGGCCGGCGAAGGCUCGGGUACCUGGGCUCCUGCACCCACGUGGGAGCCCUGCAUGGAGUUCCUGGCUCCUGGCUCCAGCCUGGCCCAGCCUUAGCUCGCUCUCUCUCUCUCUCUCUCUCUCUCUCUCCCCCUUUCAAAUAAAUAAAUAAAAAGUGGAAAAGAAAGUAAUAAG